UGAGGAAUUUUCGGCAAUGGGCGCAAGCCUGACCGAGCAACGCCGCGUGCAGGAGGACGGUCUUCGGAUCGUAAACUGCUUUUCUCAGGGACGAGCAAGGACGGUACCUGAGGAACAAGCCCCGGCUAACUACGUGCCAGCAGCCGCGGUAAUACGUAGGGGGCAAGCGUUGUCCGGAGUUACUGGGCGUAAAGCGCACGCAGGCGGUUGGCCGCGUGGGUGGUGACAGUCCUCGGCUUAACUGAGGAAGCGCUGCCCAAACGGGUCAACUUGAGGGCCAGAGAGGGACACGGAACUCCGGGUGGAGCGGUGAAAUGCGUAGAGAUCCGGAAGAACACCGAAGGCGAAGGCAGUGUCCUGGCUGGUUCCUGACGCUCAGGUGCGAAAGCUAGGGGAGCAAACGGGAUUAGAUACCCGGGUAGUC
rnacentral:rRNA from 1 species